rnacentral:rRNA from 1 species
AAGCUCGUAGUUGAAUUUCGGGAUUAGUACGUUGGUCGUGCCUUAGGUACGUACUGGUGUUACUGGUUCCUACCUUCUGACGAACCAUCAUGUCAUUAAUUUGGUGUGGUGGGGAAUCAGGACUGUUACUUUGAAAAAAUUAGAGUGUUUAAAGCAGGCUCGCGCUUGAAUACAUUAGCAUGGAAUAAUGAAAUAGGACGUUGAUCCUAUUUUGUUGGUUUCUAGGAUUGACGUAAUGAUUAAUAGGGAUAGUUGGG